rnacentral:rRNA from 1 species
AGAGUUUGAUCCUGGCUCAGCAGAGUUUGACCUGGCUCAGAACGAACGCUGGCGGCAGGCUUAACACAUGCAAGUCGAACGCCCCGCAAGGGGAGUGGCAGACGGGUGAGUAACGCGUGGGAACAUACCCUUUCCUGCGGAAUAGCUCCGGGAAACUGGAAUUAAUACCGCAUACGCCCUACGGGGGAAAGAUUUAUCGGGGAAGGAUUGGCCCGCGUUGGAUUAGCUAGUUGGUGGGGUAAAGGCCUACCAAGGCGACGAUCCAUAGCUGGUCUGAGAGGAUGAUCAGCCACAUUGGGACUGAGACACGGCCCAAACUCCUACGGGAGGCAGCAGUGGGGAAUAUUGGACAAUGGGCGCAAGCCUGAUCCAGCCAUGCCGCGUGAGUGAUGAAGGCCUUAGGGUUGUAAAGCUCUUUCACCGGAGAAGAUAAUGACGGUA